rnacentral:rRNA from 1 species
GAUGAACGCUAGCGGCAGGCCUAACACAUGCAAGUCGAACGGUAACAGGAAGAGCUUGCUCUUCGCUGACGAGUGGCGCACGGGUGCGUAACGCGUAUGCAACUUACCCCUAACUGGAGAAUACCCUUUAGAAAUGAAGAUUAAUACUCCAUAAUAUUUCAGAUUGGCAUCAAUUUGAUCUUAAAGCUUUGGCGGUUAGGGAUAGGCAUGCGUCCUAUUAGUUUGUUGGUGAGGUAACGGCUCACCAAGACUACGAUAGGUAGGGGGUCUGAGAGGAUUACCCCCCACACUGGUACUGAGACACGGACCAGACUCCUACGGGAGGCAGCAGUGAGGAAUAUUGGUCAAUGGACGAAAGUCUGAACCAGCCAUGCCGC